GACGAACGCUGGCGGCGUGCUUAACACAUGCAAGUCGAACGGUGAAGCUCCAGCUUGCUGGAGUGGAUCAGUGGCGAACGGGUGAGUAACACGUGAGCAACCUGCCCCUGACUCUGGAAUAAGCGCUGGAAACGGCGUCUAAUACUGGAUACGAGAAGGGUCCGCAUGGGCACUUUCUGGAAAGUUUUUCGGUUGGGGAUGGGCUCGCGGCCUAUCAGCUUGUUGGUGAGGUAAUGGCUCACCAAGGCGACGACGGGUAGCCGGCCUGAGAGGGCGACCGGCCACACUGGGACUGAGACACGGCCCAGACUCCUACGGGAGGCAGCAGUGGGGAAUAUUGCACAAUGGGCGAAAGCCUGAUGCAGCGACGCCGGGUGCGGGAUGACGGCCUUCGGGUGGUAAACCUCUUUCAGCAGGGAAGAAGCGAAAGUGACGGUACCUGCAGAAGAAGCACCGGCUAACUACGUG
rnacentral:rRNA from 1 species